rnacentral:rRNA from 1 species
GGGGCAGCAUGGUCUUAGCUUGCUAAGACUGAUGGCGACCGGCGCACGGGUGAGUAACACGUAUCCAACCUGCCGUCUACUCUUGGACAGCCUUCUGAAAGGAAGAUUAAUACAAGAUGGCAUCAUGAGUCCGCAUGUUCACAUGAUUAAAGGUAUUCCGGUAGACGAUGGGGAUGCGUUCCAUUAGAUAGUAGGCGGGGUAACGGCCCACCUAGUCUUCGAUGGAUAGGGGUUCUGAGAGGAAGGUCCCCCACAUUGGAACUGAGACACGGUCCAAACUCCUACGGGAGGCAGCAGUGAGGAAUAUUGGUCAAUGGGCGAGAGCCUGAACCAGCCAAGUAGCGUGAAGGAUGACUGCCCUAUGGGUUGUAAACUUCUUUUAUAAAGGAAUAAAGUCGGGUAUGUAUACCCGUUUGCAUGUACUUUAUGAAUAAGGAUCGGCUAACUCCGUGCCAGCAGCCGCGGUAAUACGGAGGAUCCGAGCGUUAUCCGGAUUUAUUGGGUUUAAAGGGAGCGUAGAUGGAUGUUUAAGUCAGUUGUGAAAGUUUGCGGCUCAACCGUAAAAUUGCAGUUGAUACUGGAUAUCUUGAGUGCAGUUGAGGCAGGCGGAAUUCGUGGUGUAGCGGUGAAAUGCUUAGAUAUCACGAAGACUCCGAUUGCGAAGGCAGCCUGCUA